UGCGCCGUCUGCAAAACAGUGAAGGAAACAACAGAUGGUAUGAACCAGAGCAAGGACUGAGCUCACCCCACAAUGAGGCAGUGACUUCUCAUUUGAUGGCAGCUCCAGCUGCAAGUCCAGGCUUGAAUGGAGUAGAAAGUGGAGUCCUGUUGAUUAAUGGCCUGUAAGAUAUAAAGAAACAGUCUGAUGGAACUACACAUACAGCCAACC